AGUGAACGCUGGCGGUAGGCCUAACACAUGCAAGUCGAACGGCAGCACAGUAAGAGCUUGCUCUUACGGGUGGCGAGUGGCGGACGGGUGAGGUAUAUAUCGGAAUCUACUUUUUCGUGGGGGAUAACGUAGGGAAACUUACGCCAAUACCGCAUACGCCCUACGGGUGAAAGCAGUGGAUCUUCGCAGCUUGUGCGAUUGAACUCGCCGAUGUCGGAUUAGCUAGUUGGCGGGGUAAAGGCCCAGCAAGUCGACGAUCCGUAGCUGGUCUGAGAGGAGGAUCGGCCACACUGGAACUUGGACACGGACCAGACGACUGCGGGAGGGAGCAGAGGGGAAUGGUGGACAAUGGGGGCAAGCAUGGUCCAGCCGUACCGCGUGGGUGAAGAAGGCGUUCGGGUUGUGAAGCCCGUUUGUUGGGAGAGAAAAGCAGCAGGUUAAUACCCCGCUGUUCUGACGGUACCCAAAGAAUAAGCACCGGCUAACUUCGUG
rnacentral:rRNA from 1 species